GUGAUAGAACCCGAUUCUGCCAUCAUGCCCAAGCCACCAAAACUCUCCAAACUCACCCUCAACUAUUCUAAACAUGCAUACACACUUAUUCAUACAUAAAGGGGCAUAAAACUAGCCUAAACCCCAACAAACAUCAACAUAAACAACACAUAGAGCAUACAUUUAACAUAAAGCUAACAUAAACCCUAAAACAUAGAUCUAACCAAAACAUGCAUCAUAAACCCUUAACCCUUCAUAAAACUCAUUCAAAACAUAAAGAAGGGCAAGGAUCUACACUUACCUCGUGG
rnacentral:lncRNA from 1 species